GACGAACGCUGGCGGCGUGCCUAAUACAUGCAAGUAGGACGCAGUUGCGAACGGGUGAGUAACGCGUAGGUAACUACCUAUUAGAGGGGGAUAACUACUGGAAACGAUAGCUAAUACAGCAUACUAGUAGAUGGACCUGCGUUGUAUUACCUAGUAGGUGGGGUAAUGGCCUACCUAGGCAACGAUACAUAGCCGACCUGAGGGGGGUGUCGGCCAACACGGGACCGAGGCACGGGCCAGACUCCUGAGGGAGGGAGGAAGAGGGAAACUUCGGCAAUGGGGGGAACCCUGGCCGGGCAACGCCGCGUGAGUGAAGAAGGUUUUCGGGUCGUAAAACUCUGUUGUUAAGGGAGCGGUACUUAACCAGAAAGGGACGGCUAACUACGUGCCAGCAGCCGCGGUAAUAC
rnacentral:rRNA from 1 species